rnacentral:rRNA from 1 species
AUUGAACGCUGGCGGCAGGCCUAACACAUGCAAGUCGAACGAGUGGCGGACGGGUGAGUAAUGUCUGGGAAACUGCCUGAUGGAGGGGGAUAACUACUGGAAACGGUAGCUAAUACCGCAUACCAUCGGAUGAGCCCAGAUGGGAUUAGCUAGUAGGGGGGGUAACGGCUCACCUAGGCGACGAUCCCUAGCUGGUCUGAGUGGAUGACCAGCCACACAGGAGCAGGGACACGGUCCAGACGCCUACGGGAGGCAGCAGUGGGGAAUAUUGCACAAUGGGCGCAAUCCUGAUGCAGCCAUGCCGCGUGUAUGAAGAGGGCCUUAGGGUUGUAAAGUACUUGCAGCGGGGAGGCGUUACCCGCAGAAGGAGCACCGGCUAACUCCGUGCCAGCAGCCGCGGUAAUUC